rnacentral:rRNA from 1 species
UUAAUCCUGGCUCAGGAUAAACGCUGGCGGCGUGCUUUAUGCAUGCAAGUCGAACGGGAAUGUGGAUUUCGGUUUACAUUCUAGUGGCAAACGGGUGAGUAACGCGUAAGUAACCUGUCCUCGAGUGGGGGAUAACCCCGGGAAACCGGAGCUAAUACCGCAUAAUACGCCGAAGGUAGCACUUCGGUGUCAAAGCAGCAAUGUGCUUGAGGAGGGGCUUGCGUCCUAUCAGGUAGUUGGUAGGGUAAAGGCCUACCAAGCCGAUGACGGGUAGCUGGUCUGAGAGGAUGUCCAGCCACACUGGGACUGAGAUACGGCCCAGACUCCUACGGGAGGCAGCAGCAAGGAAUUUUGCGCAAUGGGCGAAAGCCUGACGCAGCAACGCCGCGUGGGUGAAGAAGGCUCUCGGGUCGUAAAGCCCUUUUGUUGGGGAAGAAGUUCUGACGGUACCCAACGAAUAAGCCUCGGCUAACUACGUGCCAGCAUCCGCGGUAAUACGUAGGAGGCGAGCGUUAUCCGGAUUCAUUGGGCGUAAAGAGCGCGUAGGCGGCCUGUUAAGUCAGUUGUGACAUCUCCCGGCUCAACCUGGACAGGUAAACUGAUACUGGCGGGCUUGAGGGCAGCAGAGGGAGGUGGAAUUCCCGGUGUAGUGGUGAAAUGCGUAGAUAUCGGGAGGAACACCAGCGGCGAAGGCGGCCUUCUGGGCUGUGCCUGACGCUGAGGCGCGAGAGCGUGGGGAGCAAACUGGAUUAGAUACCCAGGUAGUCCACGCCCUAAACGAUGGAUGCUAGGUAUGGGGGGUAUCGACCCCUCCCGUGCCGCAGCUAACGCGAUAAGUUCACCGCCUGGGGACUACGGUCGCAAGAUUAAAACUCAAAGGAAUUGGCGGGGGCCCGCACAAGCGGUGGAGCGUGUGGUUUAAUUCGACGCAACGCGAAGAACCUUACCUGGGUUUGACAUCCUCUGAUCGCUCUGGAAACAGGGUUUUUCCGACUCUGUCGGAACAGGGUGACAGGUGCUGCAUGGCUGUCGUCAGCUCGUGUCGUGAGAUGGUGGGUUAAGUCCCGCAACGAGCGCAACCCUUGUCUUUAGUUGCCAGUAUUCGGUUAGGCACUCUAGAGAUACUGCCUCGGUUAACGGGGAGGAAGGUGGGGACGACGUCAAGUCCUCAUGGCCUUUAUGUCCAGGGCUACACACGUGCUACAAUGGGCUGUACAAAGGGUCGCAAUACCGCGAGGAGGCGCUAAUCCCAAAAAGCAGCUCUCAGUUCGGAUUGGAGUCUGCAACUCGACUCCAUGAAGGUGGAAUCGCUAGUAAUCGUGCAUCAGCAUGCCACGGUGAAUACGUUCCCGGGCCUUGUACACACCGCCCGUCACACCACGAAAGUCGGCUGUACCAGAAGUUGCUGGGCUAACCCCGCA